CCCCUACGUCGCAGAAGCACAACGGCUGAAGACUCAACGUGUGUUUGCAGAGGAUCUAUUUCGGUAAAAUCAAGAAUACCAGUUGAUGACUGCUGUGCAGUGGAAAUAUCGAUCAUCUUGAUAAAACCUCAGUAUAUCAUCAGGAGCAACAGGCCACAUUUUCAGCUAAAAAUCUUCUUUGCUGUUCUGCUGAAGAAAAAUACUCAUGAACAUCUUGGGUGGCGUAAGGAUCUUUGCAGGAUUCAGUCGCAUAUCUCGGAUCUGAGUUCUGCGCAGCACUGGACACAGACUCUGCACUUUUGACAUUUUCUAGAAAAAAAGGAUUUUAAAUUUCACAUCAAGUUAAUUAAAAGUCAUCUGAUGUUUCCACUGCAGUACUUCAGGGCCUUUCAGUCAUCCUGGAGGAUGACCCACAGGAAUUUUACAGGAUGUGUUUCGAUGUGGAUGCAGACUUCAGUCAAGCAGUUGUAGACCUGCUCACAGUUCUACCAGAGGACAUGCCCUCAUUGUGGAUGCAAUAAAGGCAAUCAUGGAGGGAAGAAUUGUCAUGAAUGGGUUUUAAAGGCCUGUAUUUUAUUUUUGCUGUUCUGUUUGCAUGCCAUUCUGAAAAUGCUCUAUUGUUUAACAGUGUUCCAGUGGGUCCAGAUAAUGUUAUGACAACAAAGUGCUGUUUAGUUAAGAAGUCUGUAAAGAGUAU